rnacentral:rRNA from 1 species
AGAGUUUGAUCCUGGCUCAGGACGAACGCUGGCGGCGUGCUUAACACAUGCAAGUCGAACGGAAAGGCCCUUCGGGGUACUCGAGUGGCGAACGGGUGAGUAACACGUGGGUGAUCUGCCCUGCACUUUGGGAUAAGCCUGGGAAGCUGGGUCUAAUACCGAAUAUGACCACGCUCUUCAUGGGGUGUGGUGGAAAGCUUUUGCGGUGUGGGAUGGGCCCGCGGCCUAUCAGCUUGUUGGUGGGGUAAUGGCCUACCAAGGCGACGACGGGUAGCCGGCCUGAGAGGGUGACCGGCCACACUGGGACUGAGAUACGGCCCAGACUCCUACGGGAGGCAGCAGUGGGGAAUAUUGCACAAUGGGCGCAAGCCUGAUGCAGCGACGCCGCGUGAGGGAUGACGGCCUUCGGGUUGUAAACCUCUUUCACCAGGGACGAAGCGCAAGUGACGGUACCUGGAGAAGAAGCACCGGCCAACUACGUGCCAGCAGCCGCGGUAAUACGUAGGGUGCGAGCGUUGUCCGGAAUUACUGGGCGUAAAGAGCUCGUAGGUGGUUUGUCGCGUUGUUCGUGAAAACUCACAGCUUAACUGUGGGCGUGCGGGCGAUACGGGCAGACUAGAGUACUGCAGGGGAGACUGGAAUUCCUGGUGUAGCGGUGGAAUGCGCAGAUAUCAGGAGGAACACCGGUGGCGAAGGCGGGUCUCUGGGCAGUAACUGACGCUGAGGAGCGAAAGCGUGGGGAGCGAACAGGAUUAGAUACCCUGGUAGUCCAA